rnacentral:lncRNA from 10 species
AGGAAUCCCAGACUGCAGACAUUCUAAGGCCCAGUGGCCAGGCUUUUGACAUUUGAAGUAAGGUCCAUGAGGAUGUUUUGAAGGAGCGCCUGGGACCUGUGGCUUGCAUGUUCUGAAGUUCUUGUAUGCUGAGAUGUGGCUGUGGGUUGUCUUACAGAGGAGGCAAGUAGCUGAACUCAGAAAUGUGUUGCUGUCUGGCUACCUCCUCUCUGUUAUUGUACACCUUGAAGAACGUCUGCUGGCAAAAACACAAUGGCAGCACAACUGAGAACAAGACCUAGACUUAACCUCGCAGUUGGAGUUAAGGCGGCUUUUCCAACUGUAACUUCAACGUCUGCAAAGCAAUCAUUGAUCUGAACUUCUUCUAUGAUGGAUAUUUCUAAAUGAUAUAAAGGUGGGAAAAAAUAGAAAACUUACAGGAUAAUCCUCAUUAAUUAAAGCAGUAGUUAUUAUUUGCUUUUCAAUAUGUAAAAUUUUCCCAAAAUAAUUUUUGUUUUUGGUAGAGAUAGAGGGGUUUCACUUGUUGCCCAGGCUGGUCUCAAAUUUCUAGACUCAAGCAAUCCUCCUGCUUUCACCUUCCAAAGUGCUGUUAUUACAAGGGUAAGCCACCACUCCUGGUCCCAAAAUAAUUAUAUGAUUAUGUUUGACUAACCUGAAAGAUUUCCUCAUAAUCUAAUGUCAC